CACGUAGGCGGCUUCUUAAGUCGGGGGUGAAAUCCUGGAGCUCAACUCCAGAACUGCCUUCGAUACUGGGAAGCUCGAGUCCGGGAGAGGUGAGUGGAACUGCGAGUGUAGAGGUGAAAUUCGUAGAUAUUCGCAAGAACACCAGUGGCGAAGGCGGCUCACUGGCCCGGUACUGACGCUGAGGUGCGAAAGCGUGGGGAGCAAACA
rnacentral:rRNA from 1 species